AUCAGUUAGGUAUUAUCGUUGGACCUUUCAUUUCUCAAAACGCUCGACCAACAGACGCUGUUCAUAGAUUGACGGCACGCCGAGUACUACAGUGUGGACGCCUAUUUUCAACAUGAAGGGCAUCAGUCUGAUAUUCUUGGCAAUGGGAUCUAAAUGUCAGCCCAGGCUGGGUCCCCGGAACAAGAGCUUCAUCCAAGACGUGCAUCAUGGAGCAGCAGCUACGGCGCCGGGUUACGAAGCAAGAGGGAUGCGGUGGCUGCUCGCCGCAGAUCUGAGUCUCUUAACUACCUAGAUUAUUGAUCAACCGUGGGUCAUUUUCUCAAUUGAUGAAGAUCUGAACGAUCCCCCACAGAAGGAUGUGGCUGUACUCAUUUAACAAAUAAAAGCAACGUAAAUCCAACCAAAGAUACACAUCAUAUUUUGUUUCACAUAUAAUGCUUUAUUUUCACCAUGAUAACAAGUUUCUGAAGCGCCAUCCUGGAAGCUUUGAUGAGCUUCGUUUGAUGGUUAGGUGAGAUAUGUCUAU